ACGGGAGGCAGCAGUAGGGAAUAUUGCACAAUGGGGGGAACCCUGAUGCAGCAACGCCACGUGUGGGAAGAAGCAUUUCGGUGUGUAAACCACUGUCGUGAGGGAAUAAUGCUUGAUUUCGGUCAAGUUGAAUGUACCUCGAAAGGAAGCACCGGCAAACUUCGUGCCAGCAGCCGCGGUAAUACGAGGGGUGCAAGCGUUGUUCGGAAUCACUGGGCGUAAAGGGAGCGUAGACGGCAAAGCAAGUCUGAAGUGAAAUCCCGGGGCUCAACCCCGGAACUGCUUUGGAAACUGUUUAGCUAGAGUGCAGGAGAGGUAAGCGGAAUUCCUAGUGUAGCGGUGAAAUGCGUAGAUAUUAGGAGGAACACCAGUGGCGAAGGCGGCUUACUGGACUGUAACUGACGUUGAGGCUCGAAAGCGUGGGGAGCAAACAGGAUUAGAUACCCUGGUA
rnacentral:rRNA from 1 species